rnacentral:rRNA from 1 species
AGAGCGAACGCUGGCGGCAGGCUUAACACAUGCAAGUCGAGCGGGCGUAGCAAUACGUCAGCGGCAGACGGGUGAGUAACGCGUGGGAACGUACCUUUUGGUUCGGAACAACACAGGGAAACUUGUGCUAAUACCGGAUAAGCCCUUACGGGGAAAGAUUUAUCGCCAAAAGAUCGGCCCGCGUCUGAUUAGCUAGUUGGUGAGGUGACGGCUCACCAAGGCGACGAUCAGUAGCUGGUCUGAGAGGAUGAUCAGCCACAUUGGGACUGAGACACGGCCCAAACUCCUACGGGAGGCAGCAGUGGGGAAUAUUGGACAAUGGGCGCAAGCCUGAUCCAGCCAUGCCGCGUGAGUGAUGAAGGCCCUAGGGUUGUAAAGCUCUUUGUGCGGGAAGAUAAUGACGGUACCGCAAGAAUAAGCCCGGCUAACUUCGCGCCAGCAGCCGC